GAAUAUGAGGGUGCUCUGGCUGCGAUAUCUGCUACCCCACUGAUUGCCAGGGUUGAUUCAUCUGAUCUGGAUGGCUAGGCAGAUGUCCCCUUCUUUCCUCACGGCUCCAUGUGCAUCCCUCUAGAACAUGUGUGCUCGGUGGGAGAGGACGACCUUCCCUGGUAGGAGAGGAUGGUUGUUGGGUCAAGUGUAUGUGAGAAGUAUAUAGCACUCCUCUGCUAGGACCUCCAAACUUGUUCUCUAAUACGACCAACUUCAUAGGAUUAGUAUAAGCAUUAAAUGACCACACAUAGUGCAUAGAAAAUAACAAACCAGGGGCACCUGGGUGGCUCAGUCGUU
ensembl:misc_RNA 7SK 7SK RNA